rnacentral:rRNA from 1 species
GAUGAACGCUAGCUACAGGCUUAACACAUGCAAGUCGAGGGGAAACGAUAUGGAAGCUUGCUUCCGAUAGGCGUCGACCGGCGCACGGGUGAGUAACGCGUAUCCAACCUGCCCACCACUUGGGGAUAACCUUGCGAAAGUCAGACUAAUACCCAAUGACGUCUCUAGAAGACAUCUGAAAGAGAUUAAAGAUUUAUCGGUGCUGGAUGGGGAUGCGUCUGAUUAGCUUGUUGGCGGGGUAACGGCCCACCAAGGCGACGAUCAGUAGGGGUUCUGAGAGGAAGGUCCCCCACAUUGGAACUGAGACACGGUCCAAACUCCUACGGGAGGCAGCAGUGAGGAAUAUUGGUCAAUGGGCGAGAGCCUGAACCAGCCAAGUAGCGUGCAGGAUGACGGCCCUAUGGGUUGUAAACUGCUUUUAUAAGGGAAUAAAGUGAGUCUCGUGAGACUUUUUGCAUGUACCUUAUGAAUAAGGACCGGCUAAUUCCGUGCCAGCCGCCGCUGUAA